rnacentral:rRNA from 1 species
UGCAAGUCGAACGAGAACGGUACUAGCUUGCUAGUAUGUCAGCUAAGUGGCGGACGGGUGAGUAAUGUAUAGUUAAUCUGCCCUUUAGAGAGGGAUAACAGUUAGAAAUGACUGCUAAUACCUCAUACUCCUUUAUAUUUAAUGUAUAUUGGGAAAGUUUUUUCGCUAAAGGAUGAGACUAUAUGGUAUCAGGUAGUUGGUGGGGUAAGAGCCUACCAAGCCAAUGACGCCUAGCUGGUCUGAGAGGAUGAUCAGCCACACUGGAACUGAGACACGGUCCANACUCCUACGGGAGGCAGCAGUGGGGAAUAUUGCACAAUGGGGGAAACCCUGAUGCAGCAACGCCGCGUGGAGGAUGACACAUUUCGGUGCGUUAACUCCUUUUAUAUGGGAAGAUAAUGACCGUACCAUAUGAAUAAGCACCGGCUAACUCCGUGCCAUCAGCCGCGGUAAUACCGAGGGUGNANGCGUUACUCGAAAUCACUGGGGGUAAAGAGCGCGCAGGCUGCCUUUUAGAUUUGAUGUGAAANUCUACGGUUUAGCCGUA